AACAUUUCAAUCCCUUUCUCUAUUAACCACAACCUGAGUUGCAGCCUCCGCCGCCUCAAAACCUAGAUUUGCCGUCGCCGAUGACGUCUUCUAACGGCAAAGAGAGCCACGAGAAGGUGUUUCACUCGCCGCAGUGCUCGUCGACUAGCUACGACAACGGUUAUUGGACGCCGAAGUAGAGCAGUGCAUCCUCGUCGCUUGGCGUGCGCCGGUAGCGCACCUCCUGAACCUGCGCACCCCUCUUUGUAUCCUUACAGAGUAGCCCAAGCCCACUCGGAUCUCCAACAACGAACCAUUCCUUGAGAAGUACCGAUCCAGGGGAGGCGAGUCUCUGACGCCGACAAGGAGGAGUGGACGAAGCGAUUCCCUUCGUGUCUCUUGUGUUGCGGCUCCCAGUUUGAUUUGGAAGCUAAUCUCUUCGAGGUAACUAUCAAGCUUGCAGUUGUUUAGUCAUUUAUCUCUCUGUUUCUGCAACUUAUGGAACGAAGGGUUAUGGGAAAGAGUACAUAAAUCGUUACAAGAUGAUGACAAAGUUUGUUCAUUUACUUUUAUCAAACCGUGUAGAAACUGAACAAAUAAAGUUAGAUGGUGAAAUUUCCAAGUAUUCUUUUCCUGUUUUAGAUUUCAUCAUCAAAGAGUAGUGCCAUUAGUUAUUCUCGUUUGUGAAAUUGCUUGUGUUGGCAAGUCGCUACCAACUUAAAAAAAAAAAAAAAAAAAAAAAAAAAAAAUUUUAUUAAUAACUCACACACCCUACAUAUGUCAGUGAGGUUUGAACCCAUGACCUCAAAGUUAUCAAUUAAACACCUUAACCAACCAAGCCACGGCUCACCGAUGUCGCUACCAACUCACGCAAAGGCUAAAUUUGCCCAAUGUCAUGCAUGUCUUUUUAAUAUGUUUAUUUGUGGAGCAUUCAUGAUUCUCUCUCUAAGAAUACGAAAUGACAAAGAAAGUUUGGAGUGUGUAGUUAGGGUUGAAGAAAGGAUUUGGUUGGCUGAGGGCCAAUUGUGAGCUCAGAGCUCUCUUUCUGAUUUGUAAUGUAUAAGAUUGCUAUCAGAUAGCAUCUCUCGCCGGAGGUGAGAUCUAGGCAAAUUUUGGUUUUGUUAUCAUUGGCAUGUAUUACGCGUUUGAUAUUAUGUUUAGGGAGUUGAAAUGCAUGUGAAUGUUGGUUUUGUAGUCAUUGUUUGCUCUCUCCAUGUCUAUGCAAGGAUAUGAUACCCGGAUUCUUGAAGUAAGGGGAGCUGGAUUGAGCACACAUGGGACCGAAUUAGGGGAAAUAAAUGGUACGUAGGUGUCUUGAUUUAUGUCGGAACUUUCACUUGUUAAGAAAGAAAUGAAGAUUAUAACUUAUCAUAAACUUGUUUAUUUUCUGUGCAUUUAGCUGAGAAAACUGUCGUGUUUUUGAGUUUGCACUAUGAUAAAAUUCCUUUAUGUAGAACCAAACUGAGCAUACUUUAUUUGCCUGUGGUGCUCAACCAGACCCUGCUCAGGUGCUAAAUGUUCAUGUUCCGUUCGGUGCAAUAUAUGCUGCUCUGCAUCAUCAAGUUUAUGCUCAAGACAUGACGGAUACAAUCUCUCGCCUGAGGUGAAAUAACGGAUUUGGUUGGCCGGGUGCUAAUUGUGAAUCAGAGCUCUCAUUCUGUUUUGUUCUGUUACUCUGUAUAAGAUUGCUUAAUGUUGUUUUUGGAUUUGACAACGUUUAGCCAAAUAUGCGUGAAUAACGUAAUUGCUGC
rnacentral:lncRNA from 1 species